UCUAAAAUAAAAAUUGAUAUUAUAAUUUGUGUUGAAUUUAGAUAAGAAUUUUUCAUGAAAGAGAAAAGUAUGGGAGAAGAUCAUCAAUGUUGAUAAUUAAGUCUUUAAUUGAGAAAUCCACCAGGCCUGCAAUACAUAGUACAGAUCAAUAACACUGUACACUGAGAGGAGAAAAUAUCCCCACAUUUUUUUUUUUGUGGAUUUCCAUGUCCUCUUUCUCAGAGAACAUUCUUCAAACACUAAUCCAGCCUUCAAUAAACAAUAUAACAUCCAUAAUACGCAAUUGCACUCCUCUCUUCGAGACAGAGUAAAGAACCCAUCUUUCUACUAUCUCCCAUUGUUCUUCAACUUCUAAGUCCAGCUAACAGCUAUUGGAGUCCCAACAAUGUGUUUCCCGUCGGACCACUCCAGACGAGCGAAGACAUUAGUAUUGACCGGCGUUGAACUUCCGGUGAACGUAACAGUAUAAGAUUUCUUCUCGUUUUCUUGGCUGAAACUCAACAUUUGAGGCUCUACAGAGAUUUUUACUCCUUGAGAUUGACCUGAAAUGGAUGCCUUAUAGGUCCCUGCAGCGCCAACAUUGGUAAGAGUUCGCGAAUAUUUAACCACACCAGCGCCACCAUUCUGUGUGGUGUCGAAGUUGACAGCGAAAGAAGGAUAGUUGAGAUCGUUCAAACUAUAUUUCUUACUCGCAUCGCAAGUGAAUGUUCUUCUUGCGAGGCUGCUUAUUUGUGCGGCGGUAUAGUUUAAGGCGCAGAGGAAGCCUAAGUAAUCUUCGACUGUUAGAUCGUACACAAGCCCUGGAUUGAGAGCUGAUACAGGGUCUACAUGUCCUGCACCAUGAUCAAAUGGGGUGGAGUCUUUCCCAGUAGCAAUAUCUUGCAGCUUCUGCCCGUUCUUGUAAGCUACAUAUGCUGUGGUCAUUAGCGCUGAUCUUAUAGCUGCAGGGCUCCAGUCUGGGUGGGCAGCCUUGAGUAGUGCUGCGAGGCCGCUCACAUGAGGGCAGGACAUUGAGGUGCCUGAAAUAAUGUUGAAGUAGACGCGCCUGGAAUCUGUUGACAGCCCAGUAGGACCAACUGAACCUGCCCAUCCUGCUAUGAUGUUAACACCUGGUGCGAUCAAGUCCGGCUUCAGGACCUGUGAUGUGAUCGAAUUAGGCCCUCUUGAGCUGAAAGCUGCAACCACCGGCGAUGGUUGAAUCCCAACUUUGGUGCCUUCAAAAAGAAUUGUAACUGUCGGGUUUGGAUCGUCCAACAAAUAUCUUCUAAUUCCAUCACCAUUUUUUUCACCCACUGAUGUAGCUGGCAGCAUGUGAGCAUCAGCUACCAAUUCUUCACCGUUGGCUGCUGUGUUGGCUAAAACCAUCCCCAGACCACCAGCUGCCUUCACUAUAGCUCCCUUCUGAACUCUGGCGUUCAUUCCACGAUCACACAUCACUACUUUUCCAGCAACUUUUUCUGGUAUCAAAGAAUCCAUCAUACAUAAAUUCCCGUUUGUGGAAUUACUAGCAUUACCAGCAUACACAAAAGGCAAAAGCUUUCCCGGUAAAGUGCUUCCUCGGUAUAAAGAAACUCCAGAGUAAUUUCGCCCAUUGCCCAGACUAACAAAAGCAGGGAAAUCACGAUCUAAUGUGCCAGCUCCAACGGUAGUUAUCCAUGGGGCCACAUUUGAUAAGCUAUAUGAUGUUGGGCCUGCGUUUCCAGCUGAGCAAGAGACCAGUAUUCCCUUCUCCAUAGCUGCAAAAGCUCCAAUGGCUACACUAUCUUUAUAAUAAUCAGACAUGCCACCACCAAGCGACAUGGAAAGAAUGUUGACACCAUCCUCAAUGGCCUUAUCCAUCGCCGCCAAGAUAUCAGAGCUAAAGCAACCACCAAUCCAGCACACCUUGUAUACAGCGACCCUGGCGCGCGUAGCCAUCCCACGGGCUGUCCCGGCAGCAUACCCAAAAAGGCUGGCGCCUUCCACCACUGAUCCACCUGCCGUCGAUGCAGUGUGUGUGCCAUGGCCAUCAUCGUCUCUCGGGGAUUUGGACUCCUUGGAUUCAUCGAUGGAGCCUAACAUGGCCUCAUAACCUUUAGCGAAGAACCUCGCGCCAAUUAACUUGCGGUUGCAAUUGGCAGAUGUGAAGUUGGUACCUGAUUCACACUGGCCUUUCCAACUACUUGGCACCGGACCCAUUCCAAUAUCGACAAAGCUCUUGCUCUCCGGCCAAACACCGGUGUCUAGGACACCAAUAAUCACAUCGCUGACAGAGUUAGACUCAGGGAACAUAUCAGCGGCUUUAUCAAGUCCAAGAAACUCAGGUGUACGAGUUGUGUGUAACUCGUACCUCAGCUCAGGCAACACGGAGAGAAUCCCGGGUUGGCUCUGAAGUAACUCGGCUUCUUCAGGGGUUAACCGGGUGGAAAACCCAUGAAUCGCAUUGUCAUAUGAAUAAAGCAUUUGAGCUGAACCAGAAACUGAUUUGAGAGACGAGUCAUACCAAUGAGUAUGGUGCUCGAAACUGGCCGGCAUCUCGGAUUUAGACAUGUGAACAAUGUAAGUCUUCUUCUCCACCUUCUCCGGUGCUGCCAUGGACACAUGGCAAAUACCCAGAAGGAAAACAACGAUGAAAGAUGUGAAUGUCUUCAUUUUUUUUCCUACUCCGGAAUUGAGAGAGAGGAACUACAAGGAAAUUGGAGAUUGAAAGGCUUUAGCAGCCAACCCUUCGGUUUAAUACAAGAUGAUGAGCGCGAGACGAGACGGUGAGUAGUUGUCUGUUUCUUUGAAUGAUUGCUUUGAGACAAAAAAAGGCUAGAGCUGGUGUGAUUAGUGUGUGUGUGUGAAUACAGCUUAUCUGGCCAUGGGAGAGCAAAAGAGUUCACUGGUUAUCACGUGCACGCAGCGGACGAU
rnacentral:misc_RNA from 1 species